rnacentral:rRNA from 1 species
CCUACGGGAGGCAGCAGUGGGGAAUAUUGCACAAUGGGGGAAACCCUGAUGCAGCGACGCCGCGUGAGUGAAGAAGUAAUUCGUUAUGUAAAGCUCUAUCAGCAGGGAAGAAAAUGACGGUACCUGAGUAAGCAGCCCCGGCUAACUACGUGCCAGCAGCCGCGGUAAUACGUAGGGGGCAAGCGUUAUCCGGAUUUACUGGGUGUAAAGGGAGCGUAGACGGCAGUGCAAGUCUGGAGUGAAAGGCGGGGGGUCAACCCCCGGACUGCUCUGGAAACUGUACGGCGGGAGUGCAGGAGAGGUAAGUGGAAAUCCUAGGGGAGCCGUGAAAUGCGUAGAUAUUAGGAGGAACACCAGUGGCGAAGGCGGCUUACUGGACUGUAACUGACGUUGAGGCUCGAAAGCGUGGGGAGCAAACAGGAUUAGAUACCCGGGUAGUC